CGCAGAUGGAGGAAUGCGUCGUGUGAAAGAAGAAGAAAGGAAAAUUCCUGAGGUGUUAGGAGGGGCUCAGGCUGAGAGAGAUGUUCGGCAUGUCCUGUACAUCCUGGUCAGGACACUUAGCAAAGGUCAGGGUCGAAGGCUGUAGGAUCUGGUUCCAUAUUGCUGGUGAAGCUGUGCAGGCUCCACAGACUGUGGUAGGAUGGUCCAGGGGACAGGCAGAGUGCAGCUGAACUCCACUGGACUUGGGCCACAGCCCCUGCAGCUCCUCUGGAAAGGCGGGCCAGGAGGAGCCUGGAAGAGGCUCUGGAAGGAAAGGGCUGGUC
rnacentral:lncRNA from 1 species